GCCAGGCGUUGUGGCGGGCGCCUGUGGUCCCAGCUACUUGGGAGGCAGAGGCAGGAGACUCGCUUGAGCCCAGGAGUUGGAGGUUGCUGUGAGCUGUAAUGCCAUGGCACUCUGCCCAGGGGGACAGCUUGAGGCUCUGUCUCAAAAAAAAAAAAAAAAAAAAAAGAAAGGUUACAGAAAAAUUUAGGUCACUAAACAGUAGCUAAGGACAUCAGGAAAGUAUUUUCCAAACUAAGUGAUCAUAAGAUUUUUUUUUUUUUUUGAGACGGAGCCUCAAGCUAUCCCCCUGGGUAGAGUGCCAUGGCAUCACGCUCACAGCAACCUCCAACUCCUGGGCUCAAGCGAGUCUCCUGCCUCAG
rnacentral:SRP_RNA from 1 species